CAUUAAAUAAAAUAUUUUAGCAAAUGUACAGUAUCCUAUAAUGUUCAUUGCAUACUAGUGGUAUAUCAAUGUAGUAUAUCGUUAACGUGGUACAUCAAUGUAGUAUAUCGUUAAAAUGGUACAUCAAAGCAGUAUAUCGUUAAAAUGGUACAUCAAUGCAAUAUAUCGUUAACGUGGUACAUCAAUGUAGUAUCUCGUUAAAGUGGUACAUCAAUGUAGUAUCUCGUUAAAGUGGUACAUCAAUGCAGUAUAUCGUUAACGUGGUACAUCAAUGCAGUAUAUCGUUAAAAUGGUACAUCAAUGCAGUAUAUCGUUAACGUGGUACAUCAAUGUAGUUUAUCGUUAACGUGGUAUAUCAAUGCAGUAUAUCGUUAAAAUGGUACAUCAAUGCAGUAUAUCGUUAAAAUGGUACAUCAAUGCAAUAUAUCGUUAACGUGGUACAUCAAUGUAGUUUAUCGUUAACGUGGUACAUCAAUGCAGUAUAUCGUUAAAAUGGUACAUCAAUGCAGUAUAUCGUUAACGUGGUACAUCAAUGUAGUUUAUCGUUAACGUGGUAUAUCAAUGUAGUAUAUCGUUAAAGUGGUACAUCAAUGUAGUAUAUCGUUAACGUGGCACAUCAAUGUAGUAUAUCGUUAACGUGGUACAUCAAUGCAGUAUAUCGUUAACGUGGUAUAUCAAUGUAGUAUAUCGUUAACGUGGUACAUCAAUGUAGUAUCUCGUUAAAGUGGUAUAUCAAUGUAGUAUAUCGUUAAAGUGGUACAUCAAUGUAGUAUCUCGUUAAAGUGGUACAUCAAUGUAGUAUAUCGUUAAAGUGGUAUAUCAAUGUAGUAUAUCGUUAAAGUGGUAUAUCAAUGUAGUAUAUCGUUAACGUGGUACAUCAAUGCAGUAUAUCGUUAAAGUGGUACAACAAUGUAGUAUAUCGUUAAAGUGGUACAACAAUGUAGUAUAUCGUUAACGUGGUACAACAAUGUAGUAUAUCGUUAACGUGGUACAUCAAUGUAGUAUAUCGUUAACGUGGUACAUCAAUGUAGUAUAUCGUUAACGUGGUACAUCAAUGUAGUAUAUCGUUAACGUGGUAUAUCAAUGUAGUAUAUCGUUAACGUGGUAUAUCAAUGUAGUAUCUCGUUAAAGUGGUAUAUCAAUGUAGUAUCUCGUUAAAGUGGUAUAUCAAUGUAGUAUAUCGUUAACGUGGUACAUCAAUGCAGUAUAUCGUUAAAGUGGUAUAUCAAUGUAGUAUAUCGUUAACGUGGUAUAUCAAUGUAGUAUCUCGUUAAAGUGGUAUAUCAAUGUAGUAUCUCGUUAAAGUGGUAUAUCAAUGUAGUAUAUCGUUAAAGUGGUAUAUCAAUGUAGUAUAUCGUUAACGUGGUACAUCAAUGCAGUAUAUCGUUUAAGUGGUAUAUCAAUGUAGUAUAUCGUUAAAGUGGUAUAUCAAUGCAGUAUAUCGUUAAAGUGGUACAACAAUGUAGUAUAUCGUUAAAGUGGUACAACAAUGUAGUAUAUCGUUAACGUGGUACAACAAUGUAGUAUAUCGUUAACGUGGUACAUCAAUGUAGUAUAUCGUUAACGUGGUACAUCAAUGUAGUAUAUCGUUAACGUGGUACAUCAAUGUAGUAUAUCGUUAACGUGGUACAUCAAUGUAGUAUAUCGUUAAAGUGGUACAUCAAUGUAGUAUAUCGUUAAAGUGGUAUAUCAAUGUAGUAUAUCGUUAACGUGGUACAUCAAUGCAGUAUAUCGUUUAAGUGGUAUAUCAAUGUAGUAUAUCGUUAAAGUGGUACAUCAAUGUAGUAUAUCGUUAACGUGGUACAUCAAAGCAGUAUAUCGUUAAAGUGGUACAACAAUAUAGUAUAUCGUUAACGUGGUACAUCAAUGUAGUAUCUCGUUAAACCUAACUUUAAAAUAUGAAGUGUUUAUGAUUAAGUAAAAUAUUUUGGCUAUCCAUUUCUAAAAUGAACAUAGAAAUUGUGUAUCAAUAUGUAUAAUGAGAAUAUUGCCAUUAAAACAACAACAACAGGAUCUCAAAUGUUCUAAUAAGAAUUCGUCGAUUUCAAUAACUGCUUAAGACUAGAAAUUUAACAACAAAUACUGUCCAUAUGAUAUUCGCACAUAAAUCUACUGACAUGCAUGAUACCAACAACCUCAAAUCUAGGCAAGUGGCCCAUUUCUUGAUAUAACUGGUAGGGAUAUUUUCAUUGGGUCAGUGACUAUUGUCCAAUUUUCCCAAUCAUUCGAGUGUUGGUUUUUGUUCUUUGCAAA